GACGAACGCUGGCGGCGUGCUUAACACAUGCAAGUCGAGCGAGAAACCUUUGGGUUUCUAGCGGCGGACGGGUGAGUAACACGUGGGUAACCUGCCUCAAAGAGGGGAAUAGCCUCCCGAAAGGGAGAUUAAUACCGCAUAAUAUUAAAAUUUCGCAUGAAGUUUUAAUUAAAGGAGUAAUCCGCUUUGAGAUGGACCCGCGGCGCAUUAGCUAGUUGGAGAGGUAACGGCUCACCAAGGCCACGAUGCGUAGCCGACCUGAGAGGGUGAUCGGCCACAUUGGAACUGAGACACGGUCCAGACUCCUACGGGAGGCAGCAGUGGGGAAUAUUGCACAAUGGGCGAAAGCCUGAUGCAGCAACGCCGCGUGAGUGAUGACGGUCUUCGGAUUGUAAAGCUCUGUCUUUUGGGACGAUAAUGACGGUACCAAAGGAGGAAGCCACGGCUAACUACGUGCCAGCCGCCGCCGUAAGAC
rnacentral:rRNA from 1 species